rnacentral:rRNA from 1 species
CCUACGGGAGUCAGCAGUGGGGAAUAUUGCGCAAUGGGGUAACCCCUGACGCAGCAACGCCGCGUGAGUGAAGACGUAUCUCGGUAUUUAAAGCUCUAUCAGCGGGGAAGAAGGAAGACGGUACCCGACUAAGAAGCCCCGGCUAACUACGUGCCAGCAGCCGCGGGAAUACGUAGGGGGCAAGCGUUAUCCGGAUUUACUGGGUGUAAAGGGAGCGUAGACGGCGUCGCAAGUCUGAAGUGAAAGCCCGUGGCUCAACCGCGGAACCGCUUUGGAAACUGCGUGGCUGGAGUGCGGGAGAGGUAAGCGGAAUUCCUGGUGUAGCGGUGAAAUGCGUAGAGAUCAGGAGGAACACCGGUGGCGAAGGCGGCUUACUGGACAGUGACUGACGUUGAGGCUCGAAAGCGUGGGGAGCGAACAGGAUUAGAUACCCUUGUAGUC